GAUGCUGACUUCUCCACUUAGGCAUGUUCAUAAUACUGACGACAAACAUAAGAUGAUCCAUAAUUCAAGUGUUCCUUUGCUUCGGCCGAGAGAUCUUAGGUAAUGUCCUUAUCUAUCUCUAUGGCACUGGUAACUAUUUCUCCAUUCCUCAAUGUUCUUGCUGGCAUCAGUUUGUGUAGUCUUUAUUGUCGUUUGUUCUAGUAGUUAGCCCAUGCAUUGGCUAGAAAAUUAUAGCAAAAAUUGUAGCAAAAAGGGGAUUGUAUUUUCUGAUAUAAUUUAAUCAGGUGUCAAUUAUGCAGAAAAAGCUAAGAAGCAUCUGGAUUGUAGCCUUUUACCUUUUUGUAUUGUUCAAGCCUCUUAUCGUGAUAAUAUAUGGUGUAUUUCACUUUUGAGUGAACAUAUAGAGGAUACAAACUCUUGUUACUUUUCCUCUUUUAACUCAUCUAUUUGGAUUGCUACAUAGAUCCUUUUUAUCCAUUAUGUUUUGUUUAGGCCAGGCUUUCUAUAAGCUGUUGGGAUCCUAAAUAAUUUUUAUCCAUGUAACUUGACUUCAUUUUUUGGAAUGUGUGUUCACUUUAUUUGAACUCCUUUUCCCCCAUCAUUUCAUGAUGGGAUCAAAGUUCUAGUUGACAAAGGAACAAAGAGGGAAUGGUGAGGCCACAUGUAU
rnacentral:misc_RNA from 1 species